GCCGACGUGGCGAAAUUGGUAUACGCACCAGACUCAAAAUCUGGCGGGAAACCUUGUCGGUUCGAGUCCGACCGUCGGUA
rnacentral:tRNA from 1 species